UACAGAGGUCCCGAGCGUUGUUCGGAUUCAUUGGGCGUAAAGGGUGCGUAGGCGGCGGGGAAAGUCUGAUGUGAAAUCCUGGGGCUCAACCCUGGAACUGCAUUGGAUACUUCCUUGCUAGAGUACUGGAGAGGAAACUGGAAUUUACGGUGUAGCAGUGAAAUGCGUAGAGAUCGUAAGGAAGACCAGUGGCGAAGGCGAGUUUCUGGACAGUUACUGACGCUGAGGCACGAAAGCCAGGGGAGCAAACGGG
rnacentral:rRNA from 1 species